rnacentral:rRNA from 1 species
GGCGAGUGAAGCGGCAACAGCUCAAAUUUGAAAUCUGGCCUAGGCCCGAGUUGUAAUUUGCAGAGGAUGCUUCUGGCGAGGUACCUACCGAGUUCCCUGGAACGGGACGCCACAGAGGGUGAGAGCCCCGUAUGGUAGGACACCGAGCCUGUGUGAAGCUCCUUCAACGAGUCGAGUAGUUUGGGAAUGCUGCUCUAAAUGGGAGGUAAAUCUCUUCUAAAGCUAAAUACCGGCCAGAGACCGAUAGCGCACAAGUAGAGUGAUCGAAAGAUGAAAAGCACCUUGAAAAGGGGGUUAAAUAGUACGUGAAAUUGUUGAAAGGGAAGCACUUAUGACCAGACUUGGGCCGGGCGGCUCAUCAGGGGUUCUCCCCUGUGCACUCCGCCCGGCACAGGCCAGCAUCGGUUCUCGUGGGGGGAUAAGACCGUCAGGAACGUAGCACCCUCCGGGGUGUGUUAUAGCCUGGCGGACGAUACCCCCGUGGGGACCGAGGUCCGCGCUCCGCAAGGAUGCUGGCGUAAUGGUCAUCAGUGACCCGUCUUGAAACACGGACCAAGGAGUCGUCCAUUAGAGCGAGCGUUUGGGUGUAAAACCCGCACGCGUAAUGAAAGUGAACGCAGGUGAGAGCUUCGGCGCAUCAUCGACCGAUCCUGAUGUUCUCGGAAGGAUUUGAGUAAGAGUUUUAACGGACGGACCCGAAAGACAGUGAACUAUGCUUGUAUAGGG